rfam:Firmicutes bacterium CAG:791 genomic scaffold, scf210
CGGAGUGGCUCUGGAGAAGCUCCGGAUUUACGGAGUGCCGAAGGUGCAAGCACGGAGAAGAUCAUUUUAAAAGGAAAUCGUCUCCGCAAUCUCUCAGGCAAAAGGACAGAGUGAUAUAU